rnacentral:lncRNA from 1 species
GGGACACAUUUACAAUUAACCCAAACCAUAAACAAACCCCUUCUCUCUUUCUCUUCCCCCUCUCUCUCUCUCUCCGACUCUUUCUCUCUCUCUCCUAGGGUUUCUCUCUCUCCCCCUCUCUCUCUUCUCCACGGAGGCGGCGAGGGAUCCCUCUCUCUUCCCUAGGUGCGGCGGCGUCGACCCCGUCUCCCUCCGCCGCAGCCGCCGCCGCCGCCGCCGCUUUCGAGGCGAAGCUUCAUCCAAAGGUUCGCCCUAGGGUUAGUAGGGCCCUUUCUCAAUCCACCUUAUCCGCUUUAAUCUCCCCCUUUUUGUUCUUAAAUCGACUUGUGAAUGUGGCGAAGCAUCCAUCUUGUAAGCUGUGGUUGAAGCUUAAUUGUGUAUUAUCAGCAUAUGGAAGAAGAGAUUAGUUACGAAUUUUGUGGUAGAAAUAUGUAGUUUUCCGGCAUUGUAUUUUCCUGUUUCUUGGUGCUUCACAAUUCGGUCGCUAUAGCUUCGAAAUCGGUUUCGUUUUCAGCUGCUGAGAAGUAGAAUGAUAGUACGAUUGUUUUGUAUGAGACUGUGACAGAUGCAUUUUCUAGGGUUUGUAGAACUUAGAAGUUGAAGCAUUAGUUAGAGAUUUAGUAGAGCCUAGGGCGUAAGCAACCUUUAGUUCUGUAGAUAUAGAUUCAGACCUGUUUGUUUGGUUGGAAAGAAAUGGGGCAGAUAAUCUAGUUUGGACGUUGUAUGGUAUUGUAGAUAUAUAUUUGUUUUGUGUUAGGAGUAUGUUGACUAAUUUGUUUGGAUUCCUUCAUGUCUUUCAAUUAGGUCUCGUUAACUUUCUCUUGCUUAUAUAACUUAGUACUUAUUUGUAAGCAAUUUUAGCUACUAGGGGUUAUUAUGCUCAGACCAAUGUUGUCUGUUAUGGGGUAUGCUGUGGUGCAUGGUACUAGUUGAGAAUCAUGGUUUGCUUGUGCUAGGCCUUGGUUGGUUUUGUUUUGUCCAGAAUGUGGUUCAUGUUAGACCGGUUAAGCGGUUCGCGGGUUCGCCAUACUCUGCACUAAAGUCCAUAACUUGGCUUUGUUUGUGUCUGCGUUCUUUUCUUUCGUUCCGGUAAUCAUGCCCACUUAGAAUGUCCUAUCAAGUUUGGUUCCUUCUCUUUCGAGCUGAUCUUGACUCCGACAAUAUCCUCCUGAUACUAAGUUUUUCAAGUAACGUUGUACUAGUUCGUCUAGUUUUAAGGGAGAACUUUACCGUGUUUCGCUUGGUGCAGCUUGUACUGUGCGAUCAGCUUAAUCUUAUGCAGAUCCACUUGACUAGUAGAGUUGCAAUCUUACUACCUCUAACGAAAUGAAUAGAACUAUACUGAUACUAAGUUAUGCUUGAUUGGACUUUGUUAUAUAUGUUGUUUUGUAUUGAUGUUCUUUCUUAAGCACAUUGUGGCAAUACCGUUCCAACUGAUCCUGGCUCUAGCACAACCAUUUUUUUCUACCAGGUUACCAUGCUCCACAGCAUACCCCGUAACAGGUGACAUUGAGUCUUGAGCAUAAUAGCCUUUAUAUUUUUAUUUUCCUAAUAAGUCCUAUGAUAAAGCAAUAUAUAUUAUAUAUCUAAUUAUUUAUGAUCAUCUAUAUAAAUAUAGAUUAACAUACUACUUAUAUAAAUGUAAGAUUUAUAUGUAUUCGAAUUGCAUUAUUGAGUCCGAAGACGAUUGUUGCUGCAUCUUCCAAGCUCGUGUUCAGGUCGUGUUUGUCUCGUUUACCUAACCGAGCGAUUCGAUCUCGAGCUCAUUUUUAGUCGAAUACGAGCUGGCUUGCGAAUAGCGAGUUGGAUUGCCACCCCUACCGAACACGAGCCGGCCUCAGCUCACUUGUGUUCGGCUAGUUGACACUUAGUUGCAAAUAGUUGUAAUUGCAUUGUAUUUUUAUAUUAUUUAUGGUCGGUAAAAGUGUUAUUAAUUCUUUCUGUUUUUACACUAAAAUUUCGGUUGCAACCGUUACUCAGUAAUUUUGUUGCAAUAAUUUAAGGAUUAUUGCUUCAAAAGUCCUAAUUAUCAAAUGUGUUUUUCUUUAGCUUCAAAAUAAACAAAUUUUGUCUUUACCAUAAGUUAGAAUGAUAGGUAACAUAAAAAUAAAAUAUUAAAAUUGAUAAAUGAUAUAAAAUAUUAUAAAUAAAAACUAAUUAUAUUUGAUCAACUAACAGGAAGGAAUAUAUUAUUUAUAAAUUUACAAUUUUAGAGAGGUAUAUUUUUUUAAGAAACUAUUGACGGGUCGGAGUUUGGAUAAGUUUCAAGAGAAAAGCCUAACCCGAAUCCGUGAACCAACUCCGAAAUCGAACCCGAAUUCGAACCCAACGGAUUUUGAAAAUUCAUAUUCAAAAUCUAAAAUCAAACCAAACAAAAAACUUGAAACUUGAGCCUGAACCCGAACUCGAAAAUUCGAACUCGAAACAAUCAUUUUUCUUUACCAUAUUUCAAAAUUAUAUUAUAUUAAAAUAUACAAUUUUAAAAUAUAAUUCAUUCAAAUGUAACAUUAAAUGUUGAUACUAAAACAAAAUCUAUUCGGUUCGGAUCAGGAUACACAUAAAAUUCAUAUCCGAAUCUGAAUUUAUCAAAUUUUAUUUUUAUAUUCGAAAUUAUACCCACUUUCGAGUUUGGAUCCGCAUAAAAUUUUGUGCAUCCAUACCCGUUGACAUCUCCAACCGAUACAUUCUAGGGACAAGUAUAUUCAAUUUUAUUAUUUUGUAGGGACACAUUUACAAUUAACCCAAACCAUAAACAAACCCCUUCUCUCUUUCUCUUCCCCCUCUCUCUCUCUUUCCGACUCUUUCUCUCUCUCUCCUAGGGUUUCUCUCUCUCCCCCUCUCUCUCUUCUCCACGGAGGCGGCGAGGGAUCCCUCUCUCUCUUCUCCACGGAGCCGGCGAGGGAUCCCUCUCUCUUCCCUAGGUGCGGCGGCGUCGACCCCGUCUCCCUCCGCCGCAGCCGCCGCCGCCGCUUUCGAGGCGAAGCUUCAUCCAAAGGU